rnacentral:rRNA from 1 species
GACAGAGGUGCCAAGCGUUCGGCGGAAUCACUGGGCUUAAAGCGUGUGUAGGCGGAUUUGUAAGUACCUUGUGAAAUCCCACGGCUCAACCGUGGAACUGCUCGGUAUACUGCUUAUCUUGAGCCACUUAGGGGCUACCGGAACAAAUGGUGGAGCGGUGAAAUGCGUAGAUAUCAUUUGGAACGCCAAUGGUGAAAACAGGUAGCUGGGAGUGUGCUGACGCUGAGACACGAAAGCCAGGGGAGCGAACGGG